GCACUCAUAGUUUAAUGGAUAAAACGUAGGAUUGCGGUUCCUAAAAUAGAGGUUCGAUUCCUCUUGGGUGUACCG
rnacentral:tRNA from 1 species